rnacentral:lncRNA from 1 species
UAAAUGUUUAAUCAGACAUCUGCAAAUGUAAUACUGUGGCAGCUAGACCGUGGCAGUUUAUAUUAAGUAGCUAUAUGUGGGGCUGGCCUGGUGGCGCAGCGGUUAAGUUUGCACGCUCUACUUCAGUGGCCCAGGGUUCACAGGUUUGGAUCCCGGGCGCGGACCUAGCACCGCUUGUCAAGCCCGUCUCUUACAGCAGCCCACAUAAGAAAGAGGAAGAUUGGCACAGAUGUUAGCUCAGUGACAAUCUUCCUCAAGCAAAGAGAGGACGAUUGGCAAGAGAUAUUAGCUCAGGGACAAUCUCCUUCACCAAAAAACCCAAAAGUAGUUAUAUGCAAAUUAUAUCUUCUAUGGAAUGUGCAUAUAUCACAAUAUAUUUGUUAUGCCGUAGGGUAUGGCCUCCAAAAAAAAAGAAUACGUAGGUCUCCAUAAAUGUCUUUAAAUGGCCAUGACUGACUGACAAAUAAGUUGUAAGAUAGUAAGCCCCCUGUCGUUGGAGGUAUGCCUCUCUGGGAUGCUGUAAAAGCAGUUCCUAAACACCAGGUGACCCCUGUGUCUUGUUUCCACCCAGAGCCCUCCUAUUUUGUCAUCUGCGGGGCUCGGAUUCCUUCCCUCCCACACACACAAACAAAAGUUGCUGGAAGAGGCCUUUGCCAUCCAAAGCACAUGUCCCCAGCUUUCUGCAGAGGAACCUGGGGUGUGAAACUCGCCAGAGGUAACACAGCAAGUCAGACUUCCACAGGGACUCACCCGCAGAGUCCAGAUUCCCAGCCCAUGCCCUCUCCACCCGGUCCCUGCCUCCCCGGCCAGUUCUGCCGCUGGAUGGCAGAGGUUUGGGCCUCGCUGCAACACUGCAACGUUGCCUCCCCCAGAAGGACAAGGCAGAUCUUCGUUUGGCACAGUCCAACUCCUGCCCUGAGACCGCCCUCCGCAGGCCUUCCCACAUCUGCCGGCCUGCUGCCGGCUGGGGACUUUUGCCAAGUCACACAGCACCAUAAACCUUGAUUUCCUCCUCUGUCAAACAGAGAUGAGUAACGGCGUGCGUGUAGUCUGUGUUGCAGAGAUUAAACGUGAUAAGGCAUGUAAAGAUUGGCGCUUCCAAAGUGCCCGAUAAAUGGGAUAUGAUGUUGUUACGAUGGUUGUUUUCAAUCUGCCUUUAGGCAAUCCAGUAGGUAUUAAUUGAGCCGCCCUGAAGUGCCUGUCGGGGCACAAGGCAGCAGGGAUCCUGGCCCUCAGCAGCGCUCACUUUCAGUGGGGAGAGAGAAAUAAUGAACAAAUAGGGAAGCCAGGAAAAUGCCAGGGAAAAAUGGUGCUGCGGAAGCCAAAUGAAGGGGGCUAGGACAGAGGUGAGGGAGCAGCUGCGGGGGUCAAGGAGGGCCCACUGUGGAGCUGAUUUUGCAGCCUGAUGUGACUGUCCAUGUCGGCGUGGAUCACAGCAGAGCUCCAGGGUGGAGUGAGCGGCACGUCCAGGGCACCGGAACAAGGUCAGUGCGGUCCAGGUAUCCACUGAGGCCCGGGGGUGAGGUAGGAGAUCAGAGAGGUGGGUGCAGAUCUGUGGGGCCUUGUGAGCUGAGCAGAGGGUGCAAUGGGACACACAGGCGAGACAUAAGCCGGUGGUGGUGUUGGUGGGUAAAGGGAGCAGCAGGGAGGCCAGUCAAGAGCCGUCACGAAAGUCCAGGCGGGACAUGGUGCUGACUUGGAUGAGACCAGCGGGUGGCUGCGGCCAGGGAAGGCGGACACACUCUGGGGGUGUGAGUUUCAGAGGCAAAUGCACCAGGCUUGCUCAUGACUUGCCUCAGGCUCCGGAGUUGCGGUGAGCAGGGGCCCCUGAGCUCCCAGCAGUGGAUGCUGUGGGCACUUCUCAGGUGGGGCUGCACCUGGGUCCAGCAUCUGUAAGGGAGAAGAAGAGCUUCCUGGCAGCCAGAGCCGGUUCAGGCCCAACCUCCAGGCCUCAAGCACUUUGCUCAGUGCCUCGUGUGAGUGUGGCCCCUCUGGGGCUUGCAGAGGCUCGGUGCUCUCCUUAAAGAGUGAACGUUGCCCCACUGACGUAGCCCCUGCUUCUCGGGUCGUCUGGGACUCCUGGCAGGGGCAGAGCUCCUCAGGGGUUGAGGCUGGGCUGAUUUCUGAUGCCCUCAGCACAGGUACCCAGAACAUUUGGAAUGGCCGAUUUUUGGGGAAAGUUCUGAGAAAUUAUGGCUCAUAAACACAAGGCACUACCUUCCUGGGACCCAGUGACAGCGGUGUCUCAUGACCUGCAGUGAUAACUGUGGGGGUCAGCAGGGUCGGACCCAGGCCUGCCCCCAGCUGCCACACCCCGGGCCCUGGUGUGCAGCGGAGAGGAAGACACGUAGCCCCCUGCCUUCCACUCCACUCACCCCCUGACCCCCCUGAGGCUCCCGUGGCUCUGGGUUAGAAUCCACUGUCUCCUGCCGCUGAGCUUCUGCAGGGACAGUUCCCUGUCUGGAACCUGCUUGUCCCUCAUUUUCGCUGAGUUUCCUCCUUCCCGCAGGUGCAGAGCUCAACUCAGAUAUCCCCCAGACCAGAUCGGUCACCCUCGUGGCUUCCUGUGGUGCCAUAUGCUCCCCUUUAUAGGACUCCUAACACGACUGCAGCUCAGUGAGCAGCUUCACAGCGACCUGUUCACGUUUCUCUCCCCCGCCACGACAGGAGCUUCUAGAAGUCUGUCUCUGUUGCACUCACCGCUCCAUCCUCAGAACCCAGCACAGUGUCUGCCCCGGGAAGGCACACGGUAAACAUACAGACAGCGCAUGAAGGCUAUUUCCUGGCUGUGUGGCUGUAGACAACAAUACAAAUAACAUUUUUAUUAUUAUAAAAUAAUAACUUUAUAGCGUUAUUAUAAAUAAUACAACCUACCAGGUGCCAGGCACUAAGCAUGUUA